rnacentral:rRNA from 1 species
UACGAAGGGGGCGAGCGUUGUUCGGAUUUAUUGGGCGUAAAGAGCGUGUAGGCGGUUUGGUAGGUCCGCUGUGAAAACUCGAGGCUCAACCUCGAGACGCCGGUGGAAACCAUCAGACUAGAGUCCGGAAGAGGAGAGUGGAAUUCCUGGUGUAGCGGUGAAAUGCGCAGAUAUCAGGAAGAACACCCGUGGCUAAGGCGGCUCUCUAGUACGGUACUGACGCUGAGACGCGAAAGCGUGGGGAGCGAACAGG